UCGAGAGUAGUCUAUAACAAGACAUUUGAUUUCGACUCAAAAGACCUUUAACCAAGCCCUCGCU
rnacentral:tRNA from 1 species